GCCCUGCCCGCAGCCUGCGCCGCCCUCCCGCCGAGUGUGGGGUCUGUUCCGGGCGCCUGUCGCCCUGCUGGGUGCUCCCAGGUCCAGGUGGAGGCGUGGGACCGUCCCGCUCUGUCCCCAGGUGCGUCCUCACCAGUGAGGCGUCCGGAGGAAGCGAGAGUGCGGCCAGAUUUGAAUUCCUCUUACCGUGUGGAUGAGGCUUUAUUGAAGUCUCCAAGUCCCUCUUGUACUGAAAAGCCUCUGCGUUCUGCAUUGUGGAAAGAUGAAGUGCUGCAAUACGGGUUGUUACAUUAGAAGAGAGGUUUUCUCACUUCCACUGUUGUCAAAAUUCCUGUGAAUUACACUCACCGUAACAAGGCUAUCUCCUGUCUAGAUUUAAAGCUGUAAUUAUAACCACUGCAUGCUAUUUGAACGGGGUUGGUCUUGAACUGCAAUAUGUGAGAAAAGUGAUGCUUUUCUUCAUACAGGGGUAAACCAGUGAAAGAAAGAGAAUUUAUUCAAAAUUCUCAUGUAGUGCAAUUUCUUGUGUGUAUCCACUCUGCUCAUACAAAAUACUUUUAGACAAGGUUAUUUGUAGUUCAGCAUAAUUUCCUGUUUUAAAGCCUACAGAAGUUGCAAGCUGGCUUAUUACAUGAUCCCUCUGGAUAGCAUGCUAGAGCAACAAGCUUGUGUACUGUCUCAGCAGGUUUUGUUUGGAGUGGUGGAUGGGAGAGGUGUAAACACGUGUUUGGUUAUUAUAUUCAUAAUUAUAAUAUGUGAUAAGAAAAAUUAGAGUAUGCACAUGGAAAGUAAAUGGUUCAAUGGUUAUAUAUGACACAUUAAAGAUUUUUUCCACUUGUGAAUUCAGUUUUUGGGUUUGAUUUAGUUUGUACAAUUAUCUCAGAUACUUCUGAGAUCAUAUAUCUUUUGGGUUAGACAGAAUUAGAAAUACCAGCUGUGAUUUUGUGCUCACUUGCACAUGUACAACAACAUGCACUAUGUUGUUCCUAUUGAUAAAAGCCUAAUAGUGUUUUUUAUAGGUUUAUUUGUGAGAUGAAUCAAAUUUUUUUUAUGUCUUUCAUUUUUCCAGGAUUAACAGCCAAGUCCUGCAGUCCUUUUCUGUAGUUGAGAAGUUAAGGGAAAUAAGGGUCUGUAUCCCACUGGAAACCCUAAUUACGGUUAAUACUGUAGCUUCAGUGGUAGAUACCAUUUGUAGUGAAGAUUAAAUUGAUUGCUCUGGAGAUGAGUGUAUAAAUAAUAACUAAGGGAGAAAAAGAUAUAAAUGUUGUCUUAUCUAUUUUUUCACUUAUAAGUGGAUUUUAAAUAUAAAAUAUCAGAAAAUAAGAAAAACCAUAAAUUUUAUCUAUGCUGUUAUAGUGGGACAAAAGAUGACAUAGUUCAUUUACUUAAAAGACAGCAUCUCUGCCUUGAUUUCUGUCUAUAUAUGAGAUUACGUCAAAUAACUUUGGCCCAUGAAUACUGUGUUGAGAUUUUAAGGUUCAGAAAUAUCACCCCAAACUUAAUAUUACUUCUUUCAUAAAUUUAUUUAUUUAUUUAUUUAUUUAUUUUAUGAGUCUUAAGUGUUUAAUUAAAGAGGAUAUUCCAAAUAAUAACAGAAGAAAAUAUCUCCAUGUGAUUAGAAGGCAUCAUGGCAUUUUUCAAACAAGGUUAAUUAUAAUUCUGCCCAAAAUAAUAGUGUUAUAUCUAUUGUGAAUUUAUUUAUUCAUCAUUCAUAAAACCCAUUUUCACUAGACUGGAUAAAGGAUAUAAUCCUUUAUUAUCUGGCAUUUUCUCACCUUCAGGAUAUUUAGAAAGAAUACUUGGGUCAGUUUGUUAUCUUAUUCAUUAACUAUCAUGUUUGGCCAAAUUUCUGUUUUUCAAUAUGCAUAGUGCCUUCAACAGCUAUUGGGAAUAUUUAUUCUUCCCAUAGUUCUCCCCAGUUUUUCAUUUAUAAUUUCUGCGAUGUGGACAACAGAGCUAGUAAUAACAAACUCACGUGACUCUUACCAAUGUCACUGUAAGAUCAUCUUGUUGCCACUUCUCUCUGUGGCAACACAAACAGCAUAUUAACUUUAUUCCCCCCUCAACCCCCACUCCCUCUACCCCCUUCAGUGCUGAUGUGUGAAUUUUUGGCUUGUGUGAAUCCUCUGACUUGGAGACCAUUUGAGAAGCUCUGCCAGUUAAAACACCAGUGCCUAUUCUUAAGGUCUUACAAAUUUUUCUGGCUGAACACCACAAAUUUUGUUUCUAUAACUUUGCUUUUUCUUUUCUUUACAUGUAUGAUACUUGAACAGGUUCAGCUUAACAAGCAAUUCAGAUUGCUUUAUAUAACUGAUCAGUCCUCAAUAGUAUUUAACACUUCUUGUGUCCUCCACAAAUUUCAUAAAUAGUAAUUUUAUUUAUCCCACUCUCACUAUAUCAAUGAAAGCUGAGUGUGCAGAAAAAGUAUAGACUAUGGAGAGCAUGAAUUGCAGUGAUUCAUUUGUAUGGCUUUAUAAUAUUUCUUUGUGAUUUCCCUCUGCUGGUUUUCCAGCUUUUAUAUUUCAGUUUUGUCCUGAAAUCAACAAUGGAAUGUAAACUGCAUUUCACAAGUUAAGGUUGAUUUUGUUUCAGUCCAAAUCCAUCAUUUAUAUAUCCACUAAAUUCUAGCAGUAUGCCAUCUGGUAAGGAGACAACGGGGUGAAUGACAUGUAAUGCAAUUAUGGUGUGAAAACACAGCCGUUUCUGUUAUUCAUUAGAUUGUAUUACUAAAAUACUUACUAAAGAUUAGAAUAUAAACUAAUAAUUCUUUUCAGUAUGCCUAUAAAAAUAUCACCGUGGAUUUUCCUUUAUACACAUCUCUCAGGAAUGUAAUUAAUUACUCAUUUAAACCAUAAAAGAUUGACCAAAACAAAGAAUAUUUUGAAAUCAUUUCUGAGAGCUAGCUUCCUACCCUCCUACCUGGCUUCCAUCCCUUCCUCCCACUCUCUUUGUCGUUUUCAUUUCAAUCCAUUCAUUUUAAUGAUGUACCUACUGAAUAUGAUCCCUGACACAUGACACUAUGUCAAAUAUUCACAGCAUUAUUUUAUGCAGAAUCGAACAAGUUCAAAGUUCAUAGUUAGAAAGGAAUUUUUGAAGGUAUUCAUCAAAACAUCUUGGGCUUCAUGACAUUUAUGAUGGGUACUGUGAUUUGCAGUGUUGUGCAUAUCCUUCGGUAAUCAAAUAAACAAUGUACAAAGACACUCAUACACUGUAUGCUGGGUACAUUUGCUAUCUUGUUCUUUAAAUUGUAGAGCAUACCUUGUGAGACUUUUCUGUUGUUAUUCUAAAAAGAAUUUUUCCUGGAAUCUGUUAACUUGUAUUUGUAAAGGACUUGCUUUAACUAAUCAGAGUUUUGGACAGGAAGAUAUUGGAUGGUUAUGAACAGUUAUACACUCAUUUCUCACUUAUGUGUUUUUCUGAUAUGUAGAAAAAAAAAAAGGAAAAAAAAGAGAAAUAUAUUGUUCUUAAAAA